rnacentral:rRNA from 1 species
AUGGGCGGCACUACAACAAUGGGGUACUACCUAGCUGAUGGCAUCUAUUCGAGAUGGUCUACAUUUGUGAAGACUAUCUCAAACGUUGUGCCAGGAGGCAAGAAGUCCCACUUUACGAAGGUUCAGGAGGCUUGCAAGAAGGAUGUCGAGCGGGCAUUUGGUGUGCUCCAAUCUCGAUUUGCAGUUGUCCGGUACCCUGCUCAGACCUGGUCGAAAGAUCAAAUGUGGGAGAUCAUGAGUUGCUGUGUCAUCUUGCACAACAUGAUCAUUAAGAGCGAGCAGGAAGAGCCAGUGUUUGACACGGAACCAUAUUACAGGUAG